rnacentral:rRNA from 1 species
AGGGAAUUUUCCGCAAUGGGCGAAAGCCUGACGGAGCAACGCCGCGUGAGUGAGGACGGCCUUCGGGUUGUAAAACUCUGUUCUUGAGGAAGAAUUCCUUCCAGGCGAACAGCCUGGAAGGUUGACGGUACUCAAGGAGAAAGCCCCGGCUAACUACGUGCCAGCAGCCGCGGUAAUACGUAGGGGGCGAGCGUUAUCCGGAAUUAUUGGGCGUAAAGCGCGCGCAGGCGGCCGAUUAAGUCAGGUGUGAAAGGCUGCGGCUCAACCGCAGAGCGGCACCUGAAACUGGUCGGCUUGAGUGCAGGAGAGGGGAGCGGAAUUCCCGGUGUAGCGGUGGAAUGCGUAGAGAUCGGGAGGAACACCAGUGGCGAAGGCGGCUCUCUGGCCUGUAACUGACGCUGAGGCGCGAAAGCGUGGGGAGCAAAC